rnacentral:rRNA from 1 species
CCUACGGGAGGCUGCAGUGGGGGAUAUUGCACAAUGGGGGAAACCCUGAUGCAGCGACGCCGCGUGGGUGAAGAAGCGCCUCGGCGCGUAAAGCUCUGUCAGCAGGGAAGAAAAUGACGGUACCUGAAGAAGAAGCCCUGGAGAACUACGUGCCAGCAGCCGCGGUCAUACGCAGGGGGCAAGCGUUAUCCGGAUUUACUGGGGGUAAAGGGGGCGCAGACGGCAGUGCAAGGCAGGAGUGAAAGCCCGGGGCCCAACCUCGGGACUGCACUUGGAACUGGGUGGCGAGAGUGCAGGAGGGGCAGGCGGAAUUCCUGGUGUAGCGGUGAAAUGCGUAGAUAUCAGGAGGAACACCGGUGGCGAAGGCGGCCUGCUGGACCGCAACUGACGUUGAGGCCCGAAAGCGUGGGGAGCAAACAGGAUUAGAUACCCUUGUAGUC